UACGUAGGGGGCUAGCGUUGUCCGGAAUCAUUGGGCGUAAAGAGCGCGUAGGCGGCCAGAUAAGUCCGGUGUGAAAGUCAAAGGCUCAACCUUUGAAUGCCGCUGGAAACUGUCUGGCUAGAGUCCGGGAGGGGCGAGUGGAAUUCCUGGUGUAGCGGUGAAAUGCGCAGAUAUCAGGAAGAACACCCGUGGCGAAGGCGGUGCUCUGGGACGGUACUGACGCUGAGACGCGAAAGCGUGGGGAGCGAACAGG
rnacentral:rRNA from 1 species